rnacentral:lncRNA from 1 species
UGUUCUUGUUUGGUGUCAAUCCUGGCACUGAUUUUCAGCUACUCAAUUAUUAUCUGUUGCCACAUACAUAUGCAGGCCGGAUCAUCGACGGCGGCGAGGAGAAGAUUAGUUUGCCCAACGGGCUGUGCGUCCACAAUGAGGGGUCGACUUCCUGCAGUGGCGACAAGCCGUACUGCUACUGCUGUCUCCUUGGUUAUUAUUGCUACGAGACCAUGGAAGCCUGCAAGGAAGAGUGCCUUAAGAAACUGUCUCGGUCGCCGCCGAGGCCUCCCCUAUAGAUUAGCUACCUUAUUCGAAGAAAUGUAUGAGCCACAAACGAUGCCAUAAUUUUGAAAUAAGAAACAAGUACUAUCGAUCACCGGUUUUCCUACGAGCAAGGUCAUAAACUUUUUGCACAAUCCUUCAUUGCCUCGAGAUCAGAACAUACGCGUGCUUCGUCACCCAGGUUCUCGUGUUGCUCGGUCACCAAACAAACGUUUUCCGGAAAUAGGAGCAAACGACACUAGUAGAAAAAGCACCUAAUAUGAGACACAUUAGUGCCGGUUUGGUUUUGAGCCGGCACUAAUGUGUCCAUUAGUGCCGGUUCCAACGGCUAGCUGGCCGUUCUCAUUAGUACCGGUUCGUGGCGAACCAUUAGUACCGGUUCGUGGCACUAACCGGUACUAAAGAGGGUGGUGGCAGGGUGUUGUCAGUCUGGGCCCGUCCAACACCUUUAGUACCGGUUCGUGGCACGAACCGGUACUAAAGGUCGACCUACAUAAACCCUUCGUCCACCCGAGCUCGCUCUGUUCUUCCCCUUUCCCCUCUCCUCCUCUGUUCUUCCCCUCUUUCUCUCGAGCUCAUCACACAUUUUGCCCAAAAUUUGUCAAGAUUUGAAGGCCUCCAUUCAUUCAAAUGAUCACAAAGGUUAGCAACUUUGUCCUUUCAACUCUCAUUGCUAGAUUAGCUCUUGCAAUGCUUUGUAUAGUUAUUAAUUUGUGAGGAAUUAUAUUUGCUAGUAUUUGAUUUAUAUGCAAUUUGAGGUCAAAAAUAACACUUAGUUUGCAUAUGUAGGUGUGGUUUACUUAGUGCCUUCUAAAUCUCCGUCGUAACCACCGUCGAUCGCCCGCACCGUCCCGUCGCCGGCACCACCUUGUGGUGAGGCUCUUGUUCAUGAAUGUUUUACAUUACCAAAUUGAUGUUUGUGUGAUUUGGAUAUAUAGUUAAUCGUAUAAUUAUCUUACCCGUACGUUGUUUGUUAUACAUAGUGCCAUGGUUUUGAUAUCCGUCCCCGUCGGCCCUCCUUGGUUAUUAUUGCUACGAGACCACAAUGAGGGGUCGACUUCCUGCAGUGGCGACAAGCCGUACUGCUACUGCUGCCUCCUUGGUUAUUAUUGCUACGAGACCAUGGAGGCGUGCAAGGAAGAGUGCCUUAAGAAACUGUCUCGGUCGCCGCCGAGGCCUCCCCUAUAGAUUAGCUACCUUGUUCGAAGAAAUGUAUGAUCCACGAACGACGCCGUAUUUUGAAAUAAGAAACAAGU